rnacentral:rRNA from 1 species
CCUACGGGGCGCAGCAGCCGCGGUAAUACGGAGGAUCCGAGCGUUAUCCGGAUUUAUUGGGUUUAAAGGGUGCGUAGGCGGUUUGAUAAGUUAGAGGUGAAAUGUCGGGGCUCAACCCCGAAACUGCCUCUAAUACUGUUGGACUAGAGAAUAGUUGCGGUAGGCGGAAUGUAUGGUGUAGCGGUGAAAUGCUUAGAGAUCAUACAGAACACCGAUUGCGAAGGCAGCUUACCAAACUAUAUCUGACGUUGAGGCACGAAAGCGUGGGUAGCAAACAGGAUUAGAAACCCUUGUAGUCCCACCGA